UAUAUAAGAAUAAAUACUGGGAAGGGAGAAUACAAUGAUAGUGGAGAGGAAGAUUUGGGUAUUCAUUUCCAAAUAAGAGAGUAUGGGGUUUUUUUUGUUUCCUUUGCUAUCAAGAACAGGAGAGUUAAGAGGAGAUUCAGGACUGUGUGAACUCUGUGCAGGGGUAGCUCUGCAAAUUUUCCAUGAAUGGCAGAGUUUGAAGGAAAUCACCUUCUCCAAAAGGGCUUUUCUCCUUAUGGAUUUUGAGCUCCGGGUAUGGAAUAUGUGCACAAUUUUUAAAAAGUGCUAUAUUUCAUCAUGAUUUCCAAACCUUUAUAGUAAACCAUUAGCCUUUCUCUCUUGAUCCCACUCUUCACCCAAAAUCUGACUGCAUUUAAUGUUAAUAUGCUACCAUUUGUUAACAGAUCGCAUGUGAAAGACUUGAGUCUUUUUUCAUAUAUCAGCAAGUCCAGAGUGUGUAUUUGUCUCCACUCCUUAAGAUCUCUGCUAAGUCACCUGAGCUGCGUUUCUCAUGUCACUGUCUUUGAAACAUCUACCUUCAACAUACCUGGGGACAGUGAAAGUAAAAAUUCAGAGAAUGGCAGUGCUGUCGGACUUUUCCUUCUGGCAAAGCAUUGUGGAAGAGAGUAUAGCAUGACACCAAAAAUCACUGAGAAGAAAAAAAAGACACUCCCAUUGUGUAAAAUGCAUUUUCAAAAAAAGAAAGAAAGGAGAAAUAAACCCAAUAGGAACCAUAAAUUAGCCACAUACAGCAUGCAAAGGGCAACAGGUUGAACAGUCACUUCUAUUUCUGUAUAGCCGCGUGCUUGAGUACUUCAUUACUCUGUGUCCAUGGAAAUGGAUCAUCCCAGGUUUCUCUCUCUGUGGGUUUAUUAAUGACUUUGCUGCCUCAGUGGUCUUGGAAGUGGAUGAUGGAACAUGUCUUCUAGCAUGUGGACACCAGCUGUCCUUGUCCUUCCUUCUCACUUGAAGCGUCUCAUGUCAGCUUACUGCAACUGCCUUACAAAGCUCAGCUCAGAAUUCCUUGAGCCUCUGCAUCUUCCUUUUGCUUUCUGGAUCGUGUCUAUGGUCAAAGUUUUUUGUGGGUGACAACUGAAGUGUAGAGGAGGGUCCUUGCUUGCUGAAGGAGAACCUUUUAUUAUUAUUCUUCUGUACUACGUUACAAAAUAUGCAAUUAGUAAACAUCAAAAGAAAGGCAGUUUUCAGCAUAGGAAAAGUUGCAAGAAUGGAAAAAAAUCCAUGACAUACAAGGUUAACACACUUCCUCUGGAAAGAAGAAGAAUUCAACACACUUUGAUUCAUCUGUUUUUUAAUUGCUGCUGUAAUCAUUGGACAUUAUAUAUAUAGCUAUACUGAACAGUCUGGUCACUAAGGGUCACUAGGUUAAGGCAAUGUUUUUUCCAUGUUUUGAGGAAGCCGUGUUUAUUAUAGUGUUAGUAGAUAUGCUCAUGUAACUAUAUUUUGAUUAAAGAUUUAUCAUAUUGUUUUCUCAGAAGAUCUGAAACUGAGAUAGAUACUGUAUGUGAUGACAGGCCAAGCUUGCCUCUUCACUAUAAACAAUCACUGUAAGAAAAUUAAGGUGCAAAACCAUGCCUGCUGUAAUUGUUGCAUACUUAUUAGAAGCUUUCCCUUUCCAGAUUCUCUAGGUAUUUGUUGCCCAUGAUAAUGUGAAUACUUAAGGGGAAACUGUAAUUAGUGACUGUGUAGUUCAUUCAGUAAACAUUUCUGAGCUGUUUGAUGUGACUGAA